rnacentral:ncRNA from 1 species
AAUUGAGAUAGUUCUUAGACUUUUCUUUUGUAAUCCAGCUAUCCACAGACAAGGAUGGCUGUGGAAGUUUAAUAUGGAACAAGGAGGUUCCGUAUUGAACGGUAGCGGUCGGUAAUAACAGAUUAUAUGAAAAGUCUUAGAAAUAUCCAAG